rnacentral:rRNA from 1 species
AACGAACGCUGGCGGCAUGCCUAACACAUGCAAGUCGAACGAGACCUUCGGGUCUAGUGGCGCACGGGUGCGUAACGCGUGGGAACCUGCCCUUAGGUUCGGAAUAACUCCCCGAAAGGGGUGCUAAUACCGGAUAAUGUCUUCGGACCAAAGAUUUAUCGCCUUUGGAUGGGCCCGCGUUGGAUUAGCUAGUUGGUAGGGUAAAAGCCUACCAAGGCGACGAUCCAUAGCUGGUCUGAGAGGAUGAUCAGCCACACUGGGACUGAGACACGGCCCAGACUCCUACGGGAGGCAGCAGUGGGGAAUAUUGGACAAUGGGCGAAAGCCUGACCCAGCAAUGCCGCGUGAGUGAUGAAGGCCUUAGGGUUGUAAAGCUCUUUUACCCGGGAUGAUAAUGACAGUACCGGGAGAAUAAGCUCCGGCUAACUCCGUG